rnacentral:rRNA from 1 species
UACGUAGGGAGCAAGCGUUGUCCGGAUUUACUGGGUGUAAAGGGUGCGUAGGCGGCUUUGCAAGUCAGAAGUGAAAUCCAUGGGCUUAACCCAUGAACUGCUUUUGAAACUGCAGAGCUUGAGUGGAGUAGAGGUAGGCGGAAUUCCCGGUGUAGCGGUGAAAUGCGUAGAGAUCGGGAGGGACACCAGUGGCGAAGGCGGCCUGCUGGGCUCUAACUGACGCUGAGGCACGAAAGCGUGGGUAGCAAACAGG